rnacentral:rRNA from 1 species
UACGAAGGGGGCGAGCGUUGUUCGGAUUUACUGGGCGUAAAGGGCGCGCAGGCGGCUUUGUUUGUCAGGCGUGAAAGCCCCGGGCUUAACCUGGGAACUGCGUUUGAUACGGCAGGGCUAGAGUUCGGGAGAGGAGCGUGGAAUUCCCAGUGUAGAGGUGAAAUUCGUAGAUAUUGGGAAGAACACCGGUGGGCGAAGGCGGCGCUCUGGACCGAUACUGACGCGUGAGGCGGCGAAAGCGUGGGGAGCAAACAGG